rnacentral:rRNA from 1 species
UACGUAGGGUGCGAGCGUUAAUCGGAAUUACUGGGCGUAAAGCGUGCGCAGGCGGUUCGUUAAGUCUGAUGUGAAAGCCCCGGGCUCAACCUGGGAAUGGCAUUGGAAACUGGCGAGCUGGAGUGCGGCAGAGGGGGGUGGAAUUCCGCGUGUAGCAGUGAAAUGCGUAGAGAUGCGGAGGAACACCGAUGGCGAAGGCAGCCCCCUGGGCCGACACUGACGCUCAGGCACGAAAGCGUGGGGAGCAAACAGGAUUAGAUACCCUGGUAGUCCACGCCCUAAACGAUGUCGACUAGGUGUUGGGAGAGAGAUCUCUUGGUACCGUAGCUAACGCAUGAAGUCGACCGCCUGGGGAGUACGGCCGCAAGGUUA